GAUGUGCAAACAGAAGUGGAAACGAGGUCUCCAAAGUGAUCCGUAAAUUUCGCACAUUAACAGAGCUGAUUUUCGAUGCCCAAGACUUCAUCAAGAACCCGUAUAAGGGCAAGAAGCUGAAGAAGCAUCCAGAUUUCCCUAAAAAGCCCCUGACGCCAUAUUUCCGCUUU